UACGUAGGGGGCAAGCGUUAUCCGGAUUUACUGGGUGUAAAGGGAGCGUAGACGGCGGUGCAAGCCAGAUGUGAAAGCCCAAAGCUCAACUUCGGGACUGCUUUUGAAACUGUGUAACUAGAGUGCAGGAGGGGUAAGCGGAAUUCCUAGUGUAGCGGUGAAAUGCGUAGAUAUUAGGAGGAACACCGGCGGCGAAGGCGGCUUACUGGACUGUAACUGACGUUGAGGCUCGAAAGCGUGGGGAGCAAACAGG
rnacentral:rRNA from 1 species